GACGAACGCUGGCGGCGUGCUUAACACAUGCAAGUCGAACGGAAAGGCCCUGCUUUUGUGGGUUGCUCGAGUGGCGAACGGGUGAGUAACACGUGAGUAACCUGCCCUUGACUUUGGGAUAACUUCAGGAAACUGGGGCUAAUAUCGGAUAGGAGCUCCUGCUGCAUGGUGGGGGUUGGAAAGUUUCGGCGGUUGGGGAUGGACUCGCGGCUUAUCAGCUUGUUGGUGGGGUAGUGGCUUACCAAGGCUUUGACGGGUAGCCGGCCUGAGAGGGUGACCGGCGACAAUGGGACUGAGAGACGGCCCAGACUCCUACGGGAGGCAGCAGUGGGGAAUAUUGCAGAAUGAGCGGAAGCGUGAUGCAGAAACGCCGCGUGCGGGAUGACGGCCUUCGGGUUGUAAACCGCUUUCGCCGGUGACGAAGCGUGAGUGACGGUAAUGGGUAAAGAAGCACCGGCUAACUACGUG
rnacentral:rRNA from 1 species